rnacentral:rRNA from 1 species
AUUGAACGCUUGCGGCAGGCCUAACACAUGCAAGUCGAGCGAGCCGCGGACGGGUGAGUUAUGUAUGGGGCCUGCGCGAUAGUGGGGGAUCACUAACGGACACGGGUGCUAAUACCGCAUAAUAGCGCAUCACCCAUAUGGGCGUAGCUUGUAGGUGAGGUAGAGGCUCACCUAGGCGACGAUCCCUAGUUGGUCUGAGAGGCUGAUCAGCCACACUGGGACUGAGACACGGCCCAGACUCCUACGGAGGCAGCAGUGGGGAAUAUUGCACAAUGGGCGCAAGCCUGAUGCAUCCAUGCCGCGUGUAUGAAGAAGGCCGUCGGGUUGUAAAGUACUUUAAGUCGGGAGGCGUUACCAACAGAAGAAGCACCGGCUAACUCCGUGCCAGCAGCCGCGGUAAUUC